rnacentral:rRNA from 1 species
GAUGAACGCUGGCGGCGUGCUUAACACAUGCAAGUCGAACGAGAAAUGAUAUUACGAUCUCUUCGGAGUGACGGUUUUAUUUCGAGUGGCGGACGGGUGAGUAACGCGUGAGCAACCUGCCCUAUACCGGGGGAUACCAGUUGGAAACGACUGUUAAUACCGCAUAAGCGCACGAUAAGACAUCUUGUUGUGUGAAAAACUCCGGUGGUAUAGGAUGGGCUCGCGUAUGAUUAGCCAGUUGGCGGGGUAAAGGCCCACCAAAGCGACGAUCAUUAGCCGACCUGAGAGGGCGACCGGCCACAUUGGGACUGAGACACGGCCCAAACUCCUACGGGAGGCAGCAGUGGGGAAUAUUGCACAAUGGGCGAAAGCCUGAUGCAGCGACGCCGCGUGAGUGAGGAAGUAUUUCGGUAUGUAAAGCUCUAUCAGCAGGGAAGAAAGAAAUGAC